UACAGAGGUCCCGAGCGUUGUUCGGAUUCACUGGGCGUAAAGGGUGCGUAGGCGGUCGGGUAAGUCUGACGUGAAAUCUUCAAGCUCAACUUGGAAACUGCGUCGGAUACUAUUCGGCUAGAGGAAUGGAGGGGAGACUGGAAUACUUGGUGUAGCAGUGAAAUGCGUAGAUAUCAAGUGGAACACCAGUGGCGAAGGCGGGUCUCUGGACAGUUCCUGACGCUGAGGCACGAAGGUCAGGGGAGCAAACGGG
rnacentral:rRNA from 1 species